AACGCACAUUGCGCCUGCCAGCAUUCUGGCAGGCAUGCCUGUCCGAGCGUCAUUUCCACCCUCAUGCGCCCCCGUUUGCGCGUGGUGUUGGGGCUCUGCUCUCCCGCCCUGGCGCGGGAGAGGCCCUGAAAGCGAGUGGCGGGCCGCCUGGUUUGGCUCCGAGCGCAGUAGAAACGCAUCGUUUUUUCCCGCUCUGGACGCUGCCGGCGGCGCCCUGCCGUCAAAACGCACAGAUGACGUGCAACUUUUUAAGGUUGACCUCGGAUCAGGUAGGACUACCCGCUGAACUUAA
rnacentral:misc_RNA from 1 species